rnacentral:sRNA from 1 species
CGCAGCGCAGCCGCCCGGAACUGACAGCACGUGCAGUCCAUCAGGUGGGCGUCCCCCUCUUCCCUUGCCCUUCUCUGCACGGUAGCUCCGUCCCUCGGCAUUUCUCAAUACCCCUUGCCCCUAGAUCCAAACCUGUCUCUUGAGGAACAACCGCGCAGACCCUGCCUCUUCUGACCACACGACCCGCCUUCAGCCACUUGGUCUGGUCUCAGACCCCUCAGAGCAGGAAGUGAAUGAAUUGUGUCAGUCGGUGCAGGAGCAUGUGGAGCUGCUGGGCUGUGGGGCUGGGCCCCAGGGUGAAGCCGCUGUGCGCCAGGCCGAGGAUGCCAUCCAAAAUGCCAACUUCUCUCUCAGCAUUCUCCCCAUUCUAUAUGAAGCUGGAAGCUCCCCAAGCCAUCACUGGCAGCUUGGGCAGAAGCUGGAGGGCCUUCUGAGACAGGUGGGCGAGGUCUGCCGCCAGGACAUCCAGGUGAGAGGCUACUCCUGCUCCAACCCCACCUCCGUUUGCAGGUUUGACUCCCAUCCUUUAGUUUUAACUGUGAUAUCCCCUGACUCAAUAUUCUGUUGGAGUUGGAGCCUCAAGCCAGCAGCCUGGUGUCUGGCCACAUCCUCACCAUGCUCUGACUGACCUUUGUCCAGGACUUCACUCAGGCCACACUGGACACAGCAAGGAGCCUCUGCCCACAGAUGCUGCAGGGAUCCAGCUGGAGGGAGCAGCUAGAGGGGGUCCUGGCAGGCUCGAGGGGCCUCCCGGAGCUGCUCCCAGAGCAGCUGCUGCAAGAUGCCUUCACUAGGCUCAGGUAGGCUGGAUGGGGCUGGGCUGGGCAAGGCUGAGCAAAGCCAGCCCAUUAACCCCUGUCCUCUCCUGCCCUUAGGGACAUGCGGCUAUCAAUCACGGGGACCUUGGCAGAGAGCAUUGUGGCUCAGGCUUUGGCAGGCCUGAGUGCAGCCCGGGAUCGGCUG